rnacentral:rRNA from 1 species
UGGAGAAUAUUGCACAAUGGGCGCAAGCCUGAUGCAGCAACGCCGCAUGAACGAUGAAGGUCUUCGGAUCGUAAAGUUCUGUUGCAGGGGAAGAUAAUGACGGUACCCUGUGAGGAAGCCCCGGCUAACUACGUGCCAGCAGCCGCGGUAAUACGUAGGGGGCUAGCGUUAUCCGGAUUUACUGGGCGUAAAGGGUGCGUAGGUGGUCUUUCAAGUCGGUGGUUAAAGGCUACGGCUCAACCGUAGUUAGCCUCCGAAACUGGAAGACUUGAGUGCAGGAGAGGAAAGUGGAAUUCCCAGUGUAGCGGUGAAAUGCGUAGAUAUUGGGAGGAACACCAGUAGCGAAGGCGGCUUUCUGGACUGCAACUGACACUGAGGCACGAAAGCGUGGGUAGCAAACAGG